AUGGCUCAGAUUGAACGCUGGCGGCAGGCCUAACACAUGCAAGUCGAGCGGAUGAAGAGAGCUUGCUCUCUGAUUCAGCGGCGGACGGGUGAGUAAUGCCUAGGAAUCUGCCUGGUAGUGGGGGACAACGUUUCGAAAGGAACGCUAAUACCGCAUACGUCCUACGGGAGAAAGCAGGGGACCUUCGGGCCUUGCGCUAUCAGAUGAGCCUAGGUCGGAUUAGCUAGUUGGUGAGGUAAUGGCUCACCAAGGCGACGAUCCGUAACUGGUCUGAGAGGAUGAUCAGUCACACUGGAACUGAGACACGGUCCAGACUCCUACGGGAGGCAGCAGUGGGGAAUAUUGGACAAUGGGCGAAAGCCUGAUCCAGCCAUGCCGCGUGUGUGAAGAAGGUCUUCGGAUUGUAAAGCACUUUAAGUUGGGAGGAAGGGCAGUAACUUAAUACGUUGCUGUUUUGACGUUACCGACAGAAUAAGCACCGGCUAACCUG
rnacentral:rRNA from 1 species